UCCCACGCUGGCAUUACAUCACAGAAAACCAGAGAAAUCCACGGGAAAGCGCCCAAGAAGGAAUUGCUGAUGGCUGCUGGGGAUUAAAAUUCCUUCGUCUUCUCUGGAGAAGGAGUAGACAGUCAGUAUCCAGAAUAAUGAUGACCCUUUUGUUUUGGUUUCGCGGAAGAGAAUCCGGAGACACCUGGGUAGCGAAAACCACUCUCUUUGCCGGAGCAGAUCACGUCAAGUUGGCAAAAACGACGCGAUGAGUGGAGCCUUCUGUUCGAUGGUGACGUUCGGGUUUCUUCAGAACAAGAGAGUGGUUUCCAAGGCAUCCCACAUAAAAAGGGCAACAUUUAAUGGGUGCAGUCGACCAUUUGAAGACCAUUGUUAUUAAUACUGUUG